AGCUCCAAUAGCGUAUAUUAAAGUUGUUGCGGUUAAAAAGCUCGUAGUUGGAUCUGCGGACGUGGAGAACGGUCGCCUACUCGGUGUACUGUUUUCCUGUCCUAUAUUCUCUAGUUUGCUCUAGGUGCGCUUCACUGUGUGUCUAGAGUAGCUAGAACGUUUACUUUGAAAAAAUUAGAGUGCUCAAAGCAGGCUUCUACGCCUGAAUAGUGGUGCAUGGAAUAAUGGAAUAGGACCUCGGUUCUAUUUUGUUGGUUUUCGGAGCAUGAGGUAAUGAUUAAGAGGGACAGACGGGGGCAUUCAUAUUGCGACGUUAGAGGUGAAAUUCUUGGAUCGUCGCAAGAUGAACUACUGCGAAAGCAUUUGCCAAGCAUGUUUUCA
rnacentral:rRNA from 1 species